rnacentral:rRNA from 1 species
AGCGAACGCUGGCGGCAGGCCUAAUACAUGCAAGUCGAGCGCACCUUCGGGUGAGCGGCGGACGGGUGAGUAACGCGUGGGAACGUGCCCUAAGGUACGGAACAACUGAGGGAAACUUCAGCUAAUACCGUAUGUGCCCUUCGGGGGAAAGAUUUAUCGCCUUAGGAGCGGCCCGCGUUGGAUUAGCUAGUUGGUGGGGUAAAGGCCCACCAAGGCUACGAUCCAUAGCUGGUCUGAGAGGAUGAUCAGCCACACUGGGACUGAGACACGGCCCAGACUCCUACGGGAGGCAGCAGUAGGGAAUCUUGCGCAAUGGGCGAAAGCCUGACGCAGCCAUGCCGCGUGAAUGAUGAAGGUCUUA